rnacentral:lncRNA from 1 species
GCAGCUCUUCUGUUCCUUUGAGAAAUGAAGUCCUUGGCUGAGGAAAAGCUCUCACUGCAAACUCUCAAAACAAACACAGUUAGUGUCACCAAUGCACCAUUACUUGAUUGUUUUACAUUGUCUUAGAUACAUACAUAGCCACUGCACCUCUAAACUGUGUUUCAAAUUAAUGUGUAAUAUUUAAUAUAUGAUCUUUGGAUAACUGUAAUGAAAUAAAGUACCUUUAAGUCUUUGUGUGCUCUUUGCUGAAUACCGGCAUGUUCUUCCAUUCAGGACUCAUUUAUACUUCUCUUUAUCAUACAUCUUUGUCUUGCAGGAAAUGAUCAGGAUAUCAGAUAUAUAAUGUACAUACUUUUGACCUACUGGCCUACAUUGCUCCACUGAAGAGACCACAAAUUCAAAGCCUCACCUGUGGCCUACAUUAGGUAGACCUUGGUCUUGUGUGCCAGUCUCAGUGUUGAAAGAGAUCAGGUAGACCUAGGAAAGGUUUAGACUUUCAACACUAUAGUUUUUAGGACCAGUUGUUGGCUACUCGACCAUGUGUGUGGAGAAAAGAUCAGGUUGAGUCCCAAAUGGAACCCUAUUCCCUAUAUAGUGAAGUACUUUUGACCAGUGCUUAUAGGGCCUCUAGAUGUGUACUACAUGUGCAUCUCCACCAAAAUGUACCAAUAACAUGAAAAAUAUGAUGUAUUUAUUCAUUUAAUAAAACACUUGAACACCAAAAAGCUGCAAAUUCACAAGCAAAAUGUAUUACAGUGGUUCAAUUGAUCAUAUAGAAGAUACACAACUGAAAACACAAUACUGCAUGACAUUUUUCCCUCACAUCAUCUCUCUAUGCCUCCUUCUCAAAACGCAUCAGAGGAGAAGGAACCAGAAGGAGACAAAGAGGAAGGACAUGAAGAAUCAAGAAAAUACAAUAAGAUACACGCAGUGAAGCAACACCCAGGGCCCAGUUUUUCAAACGUUUUCUGGAUUUGGCCUAUCGGAUAGGAUUAAGUGCAUGGAAAUAGAAUGAAUAGAAUGGACAAAUCGUUGACUUGAAUGGGGAUUCCCAUUCCUGUCAGUCUAUUUCUAUGCAUUUAAUCCUAUCCAAUAGGCAAAAUCCAGACAGAUAACGUUUGAAAAACUGAGCCCAGCUGAUUUAGUGGUCACAAUGUCAACGGAGAAAAAUACAUUUACAACCAGCAGAGGGCAACAUCAUCUCAUAUUUUAAAAUGUGCACUUCUCUACUAAAUCUGAAGGCCUAAUGAAUAGUCCGAAGCAAAUGUUUCUGGUAAACCGGAGUCUGACAACUACUUUCCAACCAUUUUAGUCAUUUGAUAGACAUCCACCUUUUCACGUUCAUAAUGGUUUAGAUUAGAAUAAAAAAAGCUGUGUCUGUUUAUUUCAAUACAUUUACAGCUCCCAUAUACGAUAAUAAAAAUGUUUGACUGAUAUCAGACACACAUGUAAUUGCAAAUUAUUUUCAUAAUACAAUUCAUCAACCAUUAUAAGGUGUGUGUUUCUCACUAUCAUGUGUGUUUCUCGCUAUUGUCACUUCUUGAGCACGCAUGCAAAUAAAGUAACUGAUGGAGCCAUUUCUUGGAAGUCAAGGUGUCUGAUAGAUCUUUAUCUGUUCAUUUGGUUUGACUGUUCAUAUGGUUUCAAUGUACUGGUGAAAAUGUGGUUUAAAUUCUCUAUUGACAGGUUUUGUGCAUUUAGAAACAACUGCAAGGUAUCCACGUACAUAACUUGAUCAAUGUACAAUGACAUUAUUGUUUGAAAUCAUUUUUGGAGUCUUUAUACACUUGAUGACAACUUGCAGUUAAAUAUAUAAUACAUGUAAAUAGAAAUAAUAUAACAUAAUAUAAAAUGAUAUAGAACAUAAAAUGUAAUCUAAUGUUCAAUAGCAAAUAAUCACAUGCAUUACAUGUGUAUUUAGUAUCUAGUAUUUCCAAAAUGUAAGCAGAGGUAUUGCAGCAUUCAACCCUGAAGAAGUCAGAUACUAAUAUUGUUGAAGCUCUUGAUAAAACCACAAGGCAGGUUUGACAAACUGGAUGCAAAGCAGAACUGAAAAGUAGGAGUCCAAGUGAAAUAAUGUC